rnacentral:piRNA from 1 species
UACAGGAUUAAUUUGAGGAACUUGAA